AGACUAAUACUAUAUAUGUCAAUCAAGCAGGAACAAGAGACACAAAAUAAGUUGGCACAACAUUUAGUUUAAUCAUAUUUUAUUGCAGUUGAUGGACCAUGUAGUCCUCUUCAUUAGUCGAAAUACAAACUACCAGACAAAUACGACCAUACACAAAUUUAGACCAAUGUUCCCACAAGAAAACAGGGUCUAGUGACCUUUGAAUUUGAUUUUCUUUUAAAUUUGUAGCAGCUGUUGGUGGGUACAACUACACCCAUAACCUAACAUAACAUAUAACAUAACAAAAUAUAAUAGAAUAGAACUCGCCGCCACUCACGCUACCGGAGAAAGAGAAAAACGUGGGCAACAAAAUCUUGCCAUGCCGACGAAUCCACACGCGUGAUUAAUUUCGAAGUGGGUUUGGUUCCUUCGUUAAUUAUAUUAUCUGUACAUUUAUUUGUGAAGAGACUAUAUAAUAUGUACGUGUCGGUGCCAGCUUCAAGAAUUGGACUGUACAAUAUAUAUACACCAGCUGUGUGUGUACGUAGGGCUCAAACUUAAGCUCUUGUC
rnacentral:lncRNA from 1 species